CUAUCUGCAGUCGAGCGGACAGAAGGGAGCUUGCUCCCGGAUGUUAGCGGCGGACGGGUGAGUAACACGUGGGUAACCUGCCUGUAAGACUGGGAUAACUCCGGGAAACCGGAGCUAAUACCGGAUAGUUCCUUGAACCGCAUGGUUCAAGGAUGAAAGACGGUUUCGGCUGUCACUUACAGAUGGACCCGCGGCGCAUUAGCUAGUUGGUGAGGUAACGGCUCACCAAGGCGACGAUGCGUAGCCGACCUGAGAGGGUGAUCGGCCACACUGGGACUGAGACACGGCCCAGACUCCUACGGGAGGCAGCAGUAGGGAAUCUUCCGCAAUGGACGAAAGUCUGACGGAGCAACGCCGCGUGAGUGAUGAAGGUUUUCGGAUCGUAAAGCUCUGUUGUUAGGGAAGAACAAGUGCAAGAGUAACUGCUUGCACCUUGACGGUACCUAACCAGAAAGCCACGGCUAACUACGUGCCAGCAGCCGCGGUAAUACGUAGGUGGCAAGCGUUGUCCGGAAUUAUUGGGCGUAAAGGGCUCGCAGGCGGUUUCUUAAGUCUGAUGUGAAAGCCCCCGGCUCAACCGGGGAGGGUCAUUGGAAACUGGGAAACUUGAGUGCAGAAGAGGAGAGUGGAAUUCCACGUGUAGCGGUGAAAUGCGUAGAGAUGUGGAGGAACACCAGUGGCGAAGGCGACUCUCUGGUCUGUAACUGACGCUGAGGAGCGAAAGCGUGGGGAGCGAACAGGAUUAGAUACCCUGGUAGUCCACGCCGUAAACGAUGAGUGCUAAGUGUUAGGGGGUUUCCGCCCCUUAGUGCUGCAGCUAACGCAUUAAGCACUCCGCCUGGGGAGUACG
rnacentral:rRNA from 1 species